rnacentral:rRNA from 1 species
UGACUACCAUAGAACAUUGGCACCACCUGAUCCCAUCCCGAUCUCAGCAGUGAAACUAUGUAUCGCCGAUGGUUGUGUGGGGUUUCCCCAUGUGAGAGUAGGUCAUCGUCAAGA